UACGUAGGGGGCUAGCGUUGUCCGGAAUCAUUGGGCGUAAAGCGCGCGUAGGCGGCCCGGCAAGUCCGCUGUGAAAGUCAAAGGCUCAACCUUUGAAUGUCAGCGGAUACUGCCAGGCUAGAGUCCGGAAGAGGCGAGUGGAACUCCUGGUGUAGCGGUGGAGUGCGCAGAUAUCAGGAGGAACACCGGUGGCGAAGGCGGGUCUCUGGGCAACAACUGACGCUGAGGAGCGAAAGCGUGGGGAGCGAACAGG
rnacentral:rRNA from 1 species